ACCCAAUCCUAUUCCUUUUCUCCAGGGAUACUGCCUGACUUGCUGGGUUACUCCAGAUUUUUGUGUCUAUCCUGGGUGCAAUGCAACAUCUGCAGUGUUUUCCUACACUUUAUGGGGAGUGCACCUGUAUGGAGGGAUAUUGAUAGGCGACCUGUGUGACAUGAACUGGACAAAUAGCGUUAAAUGUAGGCAGUGUGAGGUUAUCUGCUCUGUUAUGAAGAAGAGCAAUGCAGAUGACUGGCCCGAGUCCAACUAGAGACAGCUGGUACUUUCAGCACUUUCUUACUGUGGCCACUUGACUCCAAAUGACUUUGAGACCCCCUCAUGUGCAGGGUAUCCCAUGGCGUGGAGUGGUUUGCAACAGUUCACAGCCAAAGGAACUUGAGGCACCGUCCCCAAUGACUGAACCCCAUGAAAUGGCCUGAACUCUCCCGGCUGUGUUAGACCGAGUCAUAUGGCAUUGAAAUGUCCAAACAGCAGCAUCUUUUCUCACAUUCAGCUGUGAUGCCAAUAAACAUCUGUAAUUACCAAGACUUUCAUCUUGACCACUUCCGGUCUGCGUUGUAAGUAAAUUUGCGCAAACACGCUACCCUAUAUCGCUAGGAUUUUUCGCCAACUCCUCUGCUUCAAGACAACAAGUUUUGUUCCGAUCGGUGACAUAAUAAAAAAGAUAUGAAGAGUUUUAGCUCGACGACCUCUACUCAGCUGAGAAGGUUUGCAAUGAAGCGAGACUCCAGCUGCAGAGAAAGGGGAUAUGAUCAGAGAGUAGGGGGCGGACAGUAAAUGCUGAAGUAACUCAUCUUGGGGGAGAAGGAAUGGGUGACGUUUCAGGUUCAGACCUUUCUUCAGACUAAGUGUUAGGGGAGAAUGAAACUGAUAUGGGAGCUGACCAAGGAAGUUUAGAAUGGUUCAUUGUUGGCUGAGGGAAAGUGACAGCGAGGCAUACAAUCAGUAAAAUUAAUUAGGAGGACAGUGAAACUAGUAGGAGAACCAGGGCGGGACAGGAUUGUCGCAGUGUAAGCGCGAGCCGUGUGGAGGAGGCGUAGACAGAAGGAACACUAUUAAAGUCUGACGCACGGGAACAGAUAAAGUAAAUGAUCAAUAUAGCGAGUGGGCGGGCGAGCCUCGCUGAAGGAGUGGGUGGAUUGAGUAGACAACAGUCAGCUCCACUUCCCACUUGCCGACUGAACUGAUGGUUCAGCAGAGCGGUCACCCAAACUGCGUCUCGUUUGUCUAUUGUAACGGAGAACACGCGGUGUGUGGGAUACGCGGUUAAUAAACCGCAUGCAGAGCUGUUCCGCUUCACGUGGGAUGAGAGGAGGGGAGGGAAGGGGGUAAAAGGGCCGGUAGUUUCAAAUAGUCCGUUGUAACCCAAAAGGUUGCUCGAUAACAACAAUGUUGUUAGAGAUAAUGUUGCUGUGAGUGUGAAUUGUGUGCUGGAGCCGGACUUGACCGCUUCCCCUGUUGUAGGGAGAAGCGAUACCCUCGCAGUGCGAAGCUGAAAGGUCAUCAUUGGAAGUCGAUCCAUUGAACUUGGACGAACUCACGGAGGGAGGACAGGUGAGUGCGCAUUUAUAAGCGUCAUUUAAUGUGUCCGCGAAUGUUCUCGGGGACAAUGCAUGUACGGGUCACAUGUAAAUUUAAUCAGGGACGCGGUGUUUUAAGUAUAAUCACAUUAUUUUCCCCAUUUUUAAUACAUACCCACAACUACUGGGGUUUCAACGAACGCAGCAGUUCUGGGAAGAACGAUUUCAUAGUAGAACAUGACACACAAUGCUGGAGCAUCGCAGUGGAUCAGGCAGCAUCUCUGGACAAAAGGUAGAUGGAGCUGACUAUUCCCCAGAGAUGCUUCCUGACCCAGCAUCUGCAGUUCUUUCCUACAUAAAGUAAACAAUUUGUUGUGUAGGAAAGAACUGCAGAUUCUGGUUUAAACCGAAGGUAGAUCACACAAUCAAAGAUCUUUGCACACAAUACUGGAGUAACCCAGCGGGACAGGCAACAUCUCUGGAGAGAAGGAAUGGGUGACGUUUCGGGUCGAUACCAUCAGUGCCGGAUUUAGAUGAAGAGAAGCCCCAAGCUGUUCCACUUGUGAGGCCCCCAACGACCGGACAGCCAUGGCGGCCAAAUCUCCCACAAUUCAAAGCGAGGGAGAAAGUGCCCAGCGCCCACCAGUUGCCUUGCGCAUGCGCAGGGCGGCCGAUGAUGUGCUGGCCGUGGUCGUGCCGGCGGAUGAGGAGCGAGCGGAGCCCGGCGGCCCGGACACGGAUAGCGGGGGGAGAUGGAGAGAGAGAGAUAGAGAGGGGGGCCGCCCAGAGUUGAACGGAAGGUGUUCUGCCUUGGCCGGAGGCCCCUCUAGACCUCGAGGCCCAUCAUUUUUUUUCGGGGGCCCCCCUAGAAAGUGGGGGGCCUAAGGUAUAGCUUGUUUAGCUUAUACGUAAAUCCGGCACUGGAUACCAUUCUUCAGAUAGAAUCUGACGCGUCGGAAGAAGUUCUUCAAACUGAUCUCACCGAAGUGUUGACGCCGGAAAGGACAUGGACACGGCCGUUGUAGUCUACCAAGUGGUGAGUCAAUUCAAGGAGAUCUACCACAUGGACCGGACCUCGGUCACAUGGCCCCAGGACGUUAUGAAGAGAUUCGGGAUUAAACUGGAUGCGCAGUCCUCUAUUCUGGAAAACUGUGUGAGAAACGCAGGCUCCGAUGCCCAGACACAGAAAAAGGCCACCAUUCAAGAGUACUUCAAGAAACUCUCCGAGUUUCUUAAUCGGGAGAGAUUCAGCGCCUGCGCUUGGGAAGUAAUCCGCGAGCAGAUCACCCCUUGGUACCAACAGCUGUUUAGAAGUUACGCGGGAUAAUGUGCGAGCAUCUAAAACCCUUUUUUAGAUGCUGUCUGAUGCAUCCAGGGCCUCAUUUUGGAGCAUUAUUACACCAAAUUUAUGACCAAUAUUUCUGAAAUAAAUUUGAUUUAUUCAAGAGUAAUGAGUGGGUGGAAUGGGUGAUUGGGGUCAUUCUUGUAUACAUCUUUUAAAAUUAAGAAUUGUCCUUGUUUUAGUAAUCAAGUUGUACUGUUGUAAAAUGUUAUGUAAAAUGCUAUAAUGAAGCAUGCCCAAACUGCAAAUAAAUUACUGUAAAUUUUUGCAGUAAAGAAAACGUAUUGCACGAACAUUAAUGAGUUAUCUUAACCACCCCCAACUACUGCCCGCUGACCCAUUCACCAUCAGUCCCGUCAACACCAUUUAGCCAGCGGUAGAGUUGCUGCCUUACAAUACAAUACAAAUUUAUUAUCAUUUGAGCCCCAGUGAGACUCAAACGAAAUGUUGUUUCCACAGCCAUACAAACAAAGACACUGUCUUACAGACAUACACAUAAUUAAAUUCACACAAACAUCCAUCACAGUGAAGCCACUGUGAUGGAAGGCAAGUCUUUUCUCUCCCCUGUUCUCCGUGUCUCUCCCGAUGUCCAAGCCCCAGGCGGGCGAUGAUGAG